GUGGGGAAUAUUGCACAAUGGGGGGAACCCUGAUGCAGCCAUGCCGCGUGAAUGAAGAAGGCCUUCGGGUUGUAAAGUUCUUUCGGUGACGAGGAAGGUUGAUAGGUUAAUAGCCUAUCAAAUUGACGUUAAUCACAGAAGAAGCACCGGCUAACUCCGUGCCAGCAGCCGCGGUAAUACGGGGGGUGCGAGCGUUAAUCGGAAUAACUGGGCGUAAAGGGCACGCAGGCGGUGACUUAAGUGAGAUGUGAAAGCCCCGAGCUUAACUUGGGAAUUGCAUUUCAUACUGGGUCGCUAGAGUACUUUAGGGAGGGGUAGAAUUCCACGUGUAGCGGUGAAAUGCGUAGAGAUGUGGAGGAAUACCGAAGGCGAAGGCAGCCCCUUGGGAAUGUACUGACGCUCAUGUGCGAAAGCGUGGGGAGCAAACAGGAUUAGAUACCCGUGUAGUCC
rnacentral:rRNA from 1 species